ensembl:lncRNA trithorax group protein osa-like
GAUUAAAACGGCAUGGCGCGUUAUAUAAAGGCAUUUUAUACGUCUUUCCAGCACGUGCAUACUAGAAUGGCGUAUGGGAAAAUACGGGAGCGUCUGAUCCUUAUACUAAGUUCUUUCACAUGCAUUACUUUAGUGCAGUGCAGACAUGUGCUACAAUUGUCUGAAAAUGAAAAAGCAAAUGAUGAUGGUGAAUUUAUAUCGGAACAACAUAUGUUUGACCACGACCGAUAUGAGUCUUUACCUGAUUUUGAGUACCUAGGUGAUGACGCCAUUGUCUCAGGGCAAGUCAGUUCUUCUGAAGCAGCCUGGUAUGCCAUGUCUCCAAGUUUGAGGUGUGGUGAUGAUCUUAUGAAGUUGCAGCUCAGUGGUCCUGAAGUAGCACAAGUUGAGCUUUGUCGAGAUAAUGGGGCACCUGUUCCCCUCAAUGAGUUGCCACUUCACUGUGGAUACACCAUACCAACUUAUGGAGGUCUUAUCUAUGCUACCCCCUAUGAUGGAUGUGGUGUUGCACAACAGGGCGGGAGUUAUGUAAUGCAGAUGCAAUUGCAGGGAAAUGGUGCAGUCAUUUCUUGUCCUAUGACCUCUACAACUGCAAACGAAACCUUCCUAAGACCUCAUUCUCCUUCAUAUCAGCAGAUUCUGCUGUCUCCCCUUUAUCCUGAUAAAUUUACUCCAAUAACUAUGCCAGAACUACCUACAGCACUCCACAAGAUUCCACAAGAGUUUUGGCCUUACUACUACCCUCGUUACCAUUAUACUGGCAAGGGUUAUCCCACAGCUGAGCCAUCAGAGGAAACUUCUACAGAUGACCAAGCACCACACCAGAAACCUCAAUUUCCAAAGCACCCCCAUAUGAUGUGGCCAUAUCCCUAUUCCCAUUAUCCUGGCAAGGGUUAUCCCACAGCUGAACCAGCAGAAGAACCUUCUGCAGAUGCCCAAGCACCAAACCAGAAACCUCAAUUUCCAAAGCACCCCCAUAUGAUGUGGCCAUAUUCCCAUUAUCCUGGCAAGGGUUAUCCCACAGCCGAGCCAGCGGAGGAAUCUUCUACAGAUGUCCAAGCACCAAACCAGAAGCCUCAAUUUGCAAAGCACCCCCAUAUGAUGUGGCCAUAUCCCUUCUCUCAUUCCCAUUAUCCUGGAAAGCGUUAUCCCACAGCUGAGCCAGCGGAGGAGUCCUCUACAGAUGGCCAAGCACCAAACCAGAACCCUCAAUUUCCAAAGCGCCCCCAUAUGAUGUGGCCAUAUCCCUACUCUCAUUCCCAUUAUCCUGGAAAGCGUUAUCCCACAGCUGAGCCAGCGGAGGAGUCCUCUACAGAUGGCCAAGCACCAAACCAGAACCCUCAAUUUCCAAAGCGCCCCCAUAUGAUGUGGCCAUAUCCCUACUCUCAUUCCCAUUAUCCUGGAAAGCGUUAUCCCACAGCUGAGCCAGCGGAGGAGUCCUCUACAGAUGGCCAAGCACCAAACCAGAACCCUCAAUUUCCAAAGCGCCCCCAUAUGAUGUGGCCAUAUCCCUACUCUCAUUCCCAUUAUCCUGGAAAGCGUUAUCCCACAGCUGAGCCAGCGGAGGAGUCCUCUACAGAUGGCCAAGCACCAAACCAGAACCCUCAAUUUCCAAAGCGCCCCCAUAUGAUGUGGCCAUAUCCCUACUCUCAUUCCCAUUAUCCUGGAAAGCGUUAUCCCACAGCUGAGCCAGCGGAGGAGUCCUCUACAGAUGGCCAAGCACCAAACCAGAAGCCUCAAUUUCCAAAGCACCCCCAUGUGAUGUGGCCAUAUCCCUACUCCCUUCCCCAUUAUCCUGGCAAGGGUUAUCCCACAGCCGAGCCAGCGGAGGAAUCUUCUACAGAUGUCCAAGCACCAAACCAGAAGCCUCAAUUUGCAAAGCACCCCCAUAUGAUGUGGCCAUAUCCCUUCUCUCAUUCCCAUUAUCCUGGUAAGGGAUAUCCCACAGUUGAGCCAGCGGAGGAGUCUUCUACAGAUGUCCAAGCACCAAACCAGAACCCUCAAUUUCCAAAACAGCCCCAUAUGAUGUGGCCAUAUUACUACCCCGAUUAUCAUGGCAAACCAACUCCCACUUUGAAACCAGCUCCAGCCAUGGCCGCUUCUGCCCCACCAGAUUCACCCUCAAUAACCCAGAAACCGCAACCCCUAGUGUACCCUGGAAGUCUAUUCCCUCAGCAUAGCCAUUACCCUCUUUAUUUGCAACAGUUUUAUCCACAAUACCCAGUGCAGCCUCCGAAAACCCCUACCGCAUCACCUAUAACCACCACUCCUCAACCCUGUACUACAACUGCAGCUGCGGAAUGCAAACCUUCUGCCAACCAGCCUCCCAAAGAGCCACCCCGAUAUUAUAAACCACCCAAUUAUACGAGUUAUGAAAAAGACCCCUACCGCAUCACCUAUAACCACCACUCCUCAACCCUGUACUACAACUGCAGCUGCUGAAUGCAAACCUUCUGCCAAACAGCCUCACAAAGAGCCACCCAAAUACUAUAAACCACCCAGCUAUAUUCAUUAUGAAAAACACCCUUUUAAACUUCAAU